rnacentral:rRNA from 1 species
GCUUAGAGUUUGAUCCUGGCUCAGGAUGAACGCUGGCGGCGUGCUUAACACAUGCAAGUCGAACGAGAAAGCUCCUUCGGGAGUGAGUACAGUGGCGAACGGGUGCGUAACACGUUGGUGACCUGCCUUGAGGAGGGGGACAACCGUGGGAAACCACGGCUAAUACCCCGGAUGUCUAAGCUGUUAGAGGGCUUAGACUAAAACUUCGGUGCCUCAAGAGGGGCCUGCGGGCUAUCAGCUUGUUGGUGGGGUAAUGGCCUACCAAGGCUAAGACGGCUAGGGGGCGUGAGAGCGCGACCCCCCACAAUGGAACUGAGACACGGUCCAUACUCCUACGGGAGGCAGCAGUGAGGAAUAUUGCGCAAUGGGGGAAACCCUGACGCAGCAACGCCGCGUGAACGAUGAAGGCCUUCGGGUUGUAAAGUUCUUUUCUAAGGGAAGAUAGUGACGGUACCUUAGGAAUAAGUCCCGGCUAACUACGUGCCAGCAGCCGCGGUAAAACGUAGGGGGCGAGCGUUAUCCGGAUUUAUUGGGCGUAAAGCGCACGUAGGCGGCGUCGUAAGUUGGAUGUGAAAGCUCCCGGCUCAACUGGGAGAGGUCAUUCAAUACUGCAACGCUUGAGGUUAGAAGAGGAGAGCAGAAUUCCCGGUGUAGUGGUGGAAUGCGUAGAUAUCGGGAGGAAUACCAGUGGCGAAGGCGGCUCUCUAGUCUACACCUGACGCUGAGGUGCGAAAGCGUGGGUAGCGAACGGGAUUAGAUACCCCGGUAGUCCACGCUGUAAACGAUGGAUACU